AUUGAACGCUGGCGGCAGGCCUAACACAUGCAAGUCGAACGAGUGGCGGACGGGUGAGUAAUGUCUGGGAAACUGCCUGAUGGAGGGGGAUAACUACUGGAAACGGUAGCUAAUACCGCAUACCAUCAGAUGUGCCCAGAUGGGAUUAGCUUGUGGGUGGGGGAACGGCUCACCAAGGCGACGAUCCAUAGCUGGUCUGAGAGGAUGACCAGACACACGUGAACUGAGACACGGUCCAGACUCCUACGGGAGGCAGCAGUGGUGAAUAUUGCACAAUGGGCGAAAUCCUGAUGCAGCCAUGCCGCGUGUAUGAAGAAGGCCUUCGGGUUGUAAAGUACUUUCAGCGGGGAGGCGUUACCCUCAGAAGAAGCACCGGCUAACUCCGUGCCAGCAGCCGCGGUAAUUC
rnacentral:rRNA from 1 species